rnacentral:rRNA from 1 species
AGAGUUUGAUCCUGGCUCAGGACGAACGCUGGCGGCGUGCUUAACACAUGCAAGUCGAGCGGAAAGGCCCUUUCGGGGGUACUCGAGCGGCGAACGGGUGAGUAACACGUGAGUAACCUGCCCUUGGCUUUGGGAUAACCCUCGGAAACGGGGGCUAAUACCGAAUAUUCACUGCUUCUCGCAUGGGGGGUGGUGGAAAGAUUUUUUGGCUGGGGAUGGGCUCGCGGCCUAUCAGCUUGUUGGUGGGGUGAUGGCCUACCAAGGCGACGACGGGUAGCCGGCCUGAGAGGGCGACCGGCCACACUGGGACUGAGACACGGCCCAGACUCCUACGGGAGGCAGCAGUGGGGAAUAUUGCACAAUGGGCGCAAGCCUGAUGCAGCGACGCCGCGUGAGGGAUGACGGCCUUCGGGUUGUAAACCUCUUUCAGCAGGGACGAAGCGUAAGUGACGGUACCUGCAGAAGAAGCGCCGGCCAACUACGUGCCAGCAGCCGCGGUAAGACGUAGGGCGCGAGCGUUGUCCGGAUUUAUUGGGCGUAAAGAGCUCGUAGGCGGCUUGUUGCGUCGGCUGUGAAAACCCAUGGCUCAACCGUGGGCUUGCAGCCGAUACGGGCAGGCUAGAGUUCGGUAGGGGAGACUGGAAUUCCUGGUGUAGCGGUGAAAUGCGCAGAUAUCAGGAGGAACACCGGUGGCGAAGGCGGGUCUCUGGGCCGAUACUGACGCUGAGGAGCGAAAGCGUGGGGAGCGAACAGGAUUAGAUACCCUGGUAGUCC